UCAAGUUUCUUCAGAUCUGACAGAGAAGUUUUCCCUGUGCCUCCUGAGCGAUUGCCCUAAGGACCCCGAGGAUGAAGCACAGAAGAGCCCUGAUUUUCUCCCACGGACGGACUCUUACCAGGGACUCUGGAUCUCUCGAUGGAUGAUAUUUCUGGCAGAGAGCAAACAUCUCAUCAAGCAACUAUUUCCAGAUUCACUGUGCGCAGAUGCAGAUUUAGAAAGCAGAUUAAAAAAAAAAAAAAGAAAAAUAACAUGGGAAGGGACUGCAAGAAGAAAACAAAGCAACCAACCGAAAAAAAAAACCCACAAACAGAAACGGACGAAGCAGGCUGUUCGUCAAGCACUGCAGCGUGCCCCAGCCCUAGGUGCAACAAGCCUUAGCUGCCCUGAGAAGCCUCAUCUGGGACCUCUCCCAGGACCUGCCCAGCUGCCCAGGAGCUGCACAGAAGGAUUAUCAUUCACUGGCUUACUCCACAAACAUUGAAGCCAAGUGAGAAGGUGAAUUGGACUUUGCACAGCCUUUUUUGCCUGGAAUGAAACUCCAUCCAAGAAGCUCCUCCAUUUCUGUGUCAGCAAGAAAUCCAGCCGCACUGGGAAGCGUCCUCCUUUUACUUCUAUACAAGGCAAACCAAAGCGCUUCUGCUGUCGCAUUUACUUCUUGGCCCCUGUGAGCUGCAACCAACAGCCACGGCUUUCACUUUAGAAAACUCUGUACCACAUGGGGAGAUGGCUGAUAUUAGGGAUAAAUGCGACUGAAGAUGAGUCAGCUGCAGAGGGAGGAGAGGACUGCUCAAGUAACUUGCUG